AGAACGUUCUCCACUUUCUAACCUCAUUUAAGGGCUGUCAGCAACAAAGAAAGCAUUACCCCUCAUAGAUUGCCUCCCCUAAAUGCUCAGUAGUCUGAAACUGGUUAAAGAAGAUAUAUCUGGUAUUAUGUAUCUUAACAUUUGAUGAGCUAUCCAGAAGAACCUACCAAAGAACACAGAUUGGUUUUAAGAAGACAUGUAUUUGUAGCUAAUGCUCCACUAUCGCUAUGGAAAAAGCCAAGUACUACAUGGAUGGAACCUCUGAAAAUAGCGUUUGGGAGACACUGUGUUUGUUUUGUGUGUGUAAUUUAUAAUACUUGAUUUUAAGCUAUUGAGUUAUUUCUGUUACAGUGACAGACAACAUGUCAUUGGAUAAAUCUGAUGUUACCUUAUUCUCUCCUGUUAGACUUAACCAAAGCAAAUCAUAUAUUUUCUUUUUAUACUGUAACUUUCCUAUCUUUUCUACAAAGUAUCAUAAAUUCUGUAUAUAACAGCUUUAUACUUAAUUACCAAUCAAUCUGAUUAUGAAAACAAGCUCUAAUCUCUUCCUUUGAUUUUUAAGUUAAAUAAAACUACACAGCAGCCAGACAGCUUCAUUUGCCUAGUGCACGGAGUAAACAACCACUGAGUUACAUCAGAAUUCAAGUUUUGUGGCUUGAACUCAGAAGUACUCAGAAUGUGUCAGUUAAAAAUAUUUUUAUAUAUAAUUAUAUGUAUUUAGUGCUUGCUAUAUGGAUGAGGUACAAAUGAAGAUUUUGUUUUGACGAAACAUUUAAAGAAGUAACAACCCUGUGACACAUUUAUGUAAAUGUUCCGAAAAAUUCCCUCGAAUCUGCUUUAAAUAUGCAUAUGACUUUAAAGGUUCAUUUUAUGGUAAAAUCAUUUUAAAAAAAUAAAUAUUACUGUAAUUUUCACUUUGGGAAGGAAAUAAAUCUGUUAAAAGAAAAUGACUUGUUAAUGUCAGUUGGGGAAAAAAGUGAACAACUCUAAACUGGAGAAUGAUGGACUCAUCACAGUUUCUCUGUACCACUGAUUUAUUUUGUAUUUAAUAAAGGAAAUAUAUUAUUGUGCACUGGGAGAAUAUAUCAUUCUUCUU